UUAAAGUAAAGAGAGCCGGCAAAUAUGGUGCCAGCCGCCGCGGUUACACCACGAGGCUCAAAUUGAUUACCUUCGGCGUAAAGCGUGAUUAAAGUUAUCCCCCAACUAUAGUUGUAUUUUUACUGAGCUGUGACACGCUUGUUCUUAAGAAACUCAAAAACGAAAGUUACUAUAUGCAAACCAACUUGAACCCACGACAGCUGAGACACAAACUGGGAUUAGAUACCCCACUAUGCUCAGCCGUAAACUUUAAAUUACACCCCUAUCGCCAGGGAACUACGAGCAAAGCUUAAAACCCAAAGGACUUGACGGUACCCCACAUCCACCUAGAGGAGCCUGUCCUAUAAUCGAUAACCCCCGCUAAACCUCACCAUUUUUAGCCAAUCAGCCUGUAUACCUCCGUCGUCAGCUUACCUCGUGAGCGAUACCUAGUGAGCUUAAUGUCCUUACAUCAAUACGUCAGGUCAAGGUGCAGUAUAUGAAAUGGGAAGAGAUGGGCUACACUCUCUAAUUUAGAACACACGAAAGACUACCUAUGAAACCUAGUCAGAAGGCGGAUUUAGAAGUAAAGAGAGAUCAUAGAGCUCUU
rnacentral:rRNA from 1 species